GACGAUUUUGAUUCCAGGCCGCAAAAUCGGGCCGCAGCCACUGCAAGCCCACUACUGGUGCUACAACACAGCCGGCCCGAAGUAGGGCGCAGAGGCUCCGCGCAGCCUAAAAAAACUUUUAUCCGACGACCAUCGAAGCCCGUCACGGUCAAAUCCAAAGCCACGAGAAACAGGUGCCUGAAGCGAGCACAAGCACAACGACAGCCGGCAGGUGAACCCCAAGAGCACAAAUUCUGCAACUGGGCACAUAAUUGCACCUACCUUGCUACCGGCACACCAAGAGUCCUAU
rnacentral:lncRNA from 1 species